rnacentral:rRNA from 1 species
AUACGGAGGAUCCGAGCGUUAUCCGGAUUUAUUGGGUUUAAAGGGUGCGCAGGCGGGAGAUUAAGUCGGCGGUGAAAUUUUGCAGCUCAACUGUAAAAGUGCCUUCGAAACUGGUUUCCUUGAGUGUAGAUGAAGUAGGCGGAAUUUUUGGUGUAGCGGGGAAAUGCAUAGAUAUCACGAGGAACUCCGAUUGCGCAGGCAGCUUACUAAACUACUACUGACGCUCAGGCACGAAGGCGUGGGGAUCAAACAGGAUUAGAUACCCUGGUAGUCCACGCAGUAAACGAUGAUUACUAGCUGUUUGCGAUACAAUGUAAGCGGCUGAGCGAAAGCGUUAAGUAAUCCACCUGGGGAGUACGUUCGCAAGAAUGAAACUCAAAUGAAUUGACGGGG